rnacentral:rRNA from 1 species
GGGUGCCCUAAUACAUGCAAGUCGAGCGGACAGAUGGGAGCUUGCUCCCUGAUGUUAGCGGCGGACGGGUGAGUAACACGUGGGUAACCUGCCUGUAAGACUGGGAUAACUCCGGGAAACCGGGGCUAAUACCGGAUGGUUGUCUGAACCGCAUGGUUCAGACAUAAAAGGUGGCUUCGGCUACCACUUACAGAUGGACCCGCGGCGCAUUAGCUAGUUGGUGAGGUAACGGCUCACCAAGGCGACGAUGCGUAGCCGACCUGAGAGGGUGAUCGGCCACACUGGGACUGAGACACGGCCCAGACUCCUACGGGAGGCAGCAGUAGGGAAUCUUCCGCAAUGGACGAAAGUCUGACGGAGCAACGCCGCGUGAGUGAUGAAGGUUUUCGGAUCGUAAAGCUCUGUUGUUAGGGAAGAACAAGUGCCGUUCAAAUAGGGCGGCACCUUGACGGUACCUAACCAGAAAGCCACGGCUAACUACGUGCCAGCAGCCGCGGUAAUACGUAGGUGGCAAGCGUUGUCCGGAAUUAUUGGGCGUAAAGGGCUCGCAGGCGGUUUCUUAAGUCUGAUGUGAAAGCCCCCGGCUCAACCGGGGAGGGUCAUUGGAAACUGGGGAACUUGAGUGCAGAAGAGGAGAGUGGAAUUCCACGUGUAGCGGUGAAAUGCGUAGAGAUGUGGAGGAACACCAGUGGCGAAGGCGACUCUCUGGUCUGUAACUGACGCUGAGGAGCGAAAGCGUGGGGAGCGAACAGGAUUAGAUACCCUGGUAGUCCACGCCGUAAACGAUGAGUGCUAAGUGU